GCAGGCUGCAACUCGCCUGCAUGAAGUCGGAAUUGCUAGUAAUCGUAGGUCAGCAUACUACGGUGAAUACGUUCCCGGGCCUUGUACACACCGCCCGUCAAACCAUGAGAGUUGGCAACACCCGAAGUCGGUAGUCUAACCGCAAGGAGGACGCCGCCGAAGGUGGGGUCGAUGAUUAGGGUUAAGUCGUAACAAGGUAGC
rnacentral:rRNA from 1 species